UACGUAGGGUGCAAGCGUUAUCCGGAAUUAUUGGGCGUAAAGAGCUCGUAGGCGGUUUGUCGCGUCUGCUGUGAAAACUGGAGGCUCAACCUCCAGCCUGCAGUGGGUACGGGCAGACUAGAGUGGCGGUAGGGGAGAUUGGAAUUCCUGGUGUAGCGGUGGAAUGCGCAGAUAUCAGGAGGAACACCGAUGGCGAAGGCAGAUCUCUGGGCCGUAACUGACGCUGAGGAGCGAAAGCAUGGGGAGCGAACAGG
rnacentral:rRNA from 1 species